GGUAGCUAGUCUGCAGCCACUCGUGUGGUCUGUGAGUCGCAGUUCAGCUCAGUUGUCUCAUCUAAAAUGAAGACAGUUCGUCUCUUUCAGGGUUUUUGUAUAAAUCGAAAAUUAUGAGACCCCUUUUCUGUAACCUUAGCCAGAAAACAUUAGCCGAAGUCAGAGGUUAGAAAGCUUUGGUUAACACUUCAGUGAUAAACCGUGAAGGAACGGAAGACUGUUCACCGAGGCUGAGAACCCAAAGCUUUGAAUCACCUAUUACAACUUGUAAAAAAUGCACCCUCCCUUCACCCUGCUUUCUGCUUCAAGAGGUUGUCCUGAAUGGACUAAGUUAGUGAAAUCACAGCUUUUAUUGAAGAAGCCUUCUCUGCAUAACUGCUCCCUCCUCUCAACCUUUUGGACUUAGCGGUGGUCUCAAUAGAGCUGUGGGUAUUAGGGUAAUAUAACAUUAUGAUUUCUCUACUUUCUCAACUUCUUUGUCAUUUUCAAGGUAUUAAACUCUCCAAUUAUCCUAA